UACGGGGGGGGCGAGCGUUGUUCGGAAUUACUGGGCGUAAAGGGCGCGUAGGCGGUCUGCUAAGUUGGAUGUGAAAACUCUGGGCCUAACCCAGAGCCUGCAUUCAAAACUGACAGGCUAGAGUUCUGGAGGGGGAAGCGGAAUUCCUGGUGUAGCGGUGAAAUGCGUAGAUAUCAGGAGGAACACCGGUGGCGAAGGCGGCUUCCUGGACAGAAACUGACGCUGAGGCGCGAAAGCUAGGGGAGCAAACAGG
rnacentral:rRNA from 1 species